rnacentral:rRNA from 1 species
CCUACGGGUGGCAGCAGUGAGGAAUAUUGGUCAAUGGGCGAGAGCCUGAACCAGCCAAGUAGCGUGAAGGAUGACUGCCCUACGGGUUGUAAACUUCUUUUAUAUAGGAAUAAAAUGAGGCACGUGUGCCUUUUUGUAUGUACUUUAUGAAUAAGGAUCGGCUAACUCCGUGCCAGCAGCCGCGGUAAUACGGAGGAUCCGAGCGUUAUCCGGAUUUAUUGGGUUUAAAGGGAGCGUAGAUGGGUUGUUAAGUCAGUUGUGAAAGUUUGCGGAUCAACCGUAAAAUUGCAAUUGAUACUGGCAGCCUUGAGUACAGUAGAGGUAGGCGGAAUUCGUGGUGUAGCGGUGAAAUGCUUAGAUAUCACGAAGAACUCCGAUUGCGAAGGCAGCUUACUAAACUGCAACUGACAUUGAUGCUCGAAAGUGUGGGUAUCAAACAGGAUUAGAUACCCUAGUAGUC